AACACCCUCGUGAACGGUUUUCGUAAAUGUGGAUUGUCGCCCUGGAAUCCGGACGCUGUCGAUUAUGCCAUGCUUUUAAAUGCAGAAAACCAAACCCAUUCAAACACCACAAAUCAGGAAACAACCGAAACUUCGCCGGUUCCUAGUGCCACUGUUAUUCUGCAAGGGCUUGAGUCCCAUCUUACUUUGCGACAGUUGAAGGCUUUUGAGCAAAAUCAAAAUAAGAUCACAUGGCCGGGACAAGUUGAAGACGCUAGUUUGUUUCACGUGUGGAAACGCGUUAAAAGAGAUGUCGUUGCUGAAAAAAUACUGCAAUUUGACACAACUAGUUCAUCCGAAGAGAACUCGUUCCGUGGAUUUAAUGAAUCUGAGCUAGAAGCUGAAAGAACAAAAUUUCUUAAAAAGUAUCAAUAUCGAACCACUGACGAACAGAAGACAUCCCCACAGGAAAUGGUUAGUGACAACCAAAGCAAGGCUCUACUGAAAAAAGCGUUGUCUCCCGAGGAAUGCAUCGGUAGUAUUAGUAUUAGUAAUUUGUUUUUUGAAAUAAUAAAGUGUUCAAACAUUCACAAAUUUCAGACGAUCAUCCUGUUGAACAACUUCCCGUUUAACCAGCAAUCAAUGGAGGUCCUGUGCUAAAUUCAGAUGGAAAUCAAAAGUUACUAGCUGACGUAACGCUAGGAAGCUUUCCCAAUACAAUGUCCUUCGGUAUACCUCACAUCGCUCCCAAUGCAGGGUCAGAGCACAGCAUCAAAGAUGAUGUUUUCGAUAGAGCAUUUCAAACGCCACUCGGUGCUGCCCGAAAAACGGGUCAAACAAGAAAGUAUCGACCACGUCCCCCUGCUGUGGCAACCAGUGAAGCAUUUAAAGCAUAUCUGAAAGAUAUGGAAGCUGAAAAAUAUAAUCAAGAGCAAGAAAAACUACAAAAGAAAAUCGUCCGUGAAGAAAAAAAGUCGGCAGCAAAGCAGAAGCUGCAAAUAAAAUCUGAGAAUCGCAAGAAAAAGCAAGAAUCGGCGAAGAAAAGAGGCGUCGGAGCAACCGGCAAGCAGAAAAAGAAACUUGUCUAAAGUAGCCUAAAGCGGAUUGGAGUUUGCCUAUGUAAUUGAAGUUACUAUGAAAUAUUGUUAUUCUCAUUUAUAAUACUGGAAACGAUUAAAAAAAUAAAUAAAAUUACGUAUAGAUGUUUUUCUGGGUGCGCAGAGUUAGGAACCCGAGUGCGCAGAAUAAGGAACUUUGUAAAAAAAGUGCGCAGAGUAAGGAACGUUGUAAUGUUUUAACUUUUCCAAUAAUGUAUGAAAAAACAUUAAAGUUUACAAAAA